GGUCUUUAAUGAUGUUUUUAACCUACAUUGUUUGAUUCAUUAUGAUAACAAUAAUUUUCUGAAAAGACC